CUACUAUUAUCUACGACCUAGUCUGUGGGAGAUGUAUUGAUGAUCCGGAUGGAGUAACUAUAAAGCACCUCACCCACAAAAGCACAGGCAUCUCAAGUGUUGUUAUCAUGAGGAAAUAAUGGAGGCAUCUAAAGAAAGACAGUGGCUCACUGGUGGCUGAAACUUGGUCUGUGAGGGAGGAUGCAUCCUGUUUGAAGUAAUAAAAGGCUCUCAGUCUCAAGGAAUCUGGGCAGGACGGAGGACAAAAGCAUCUGCCCGGAGAUAUUGAUCAGGGAGAGACCAAUCUGAUUGACUGCUUAAAGACUUUACUGCUGUGAGAGAAAAGGAAGACCAUAUAAGUGAAGCCAGGAGCGACCGUCAUUGCCUGACUCUGGAAGCUAUCAGAGAUGCAGAAUCAGCAGGGACGGAGGAUCAACUGUCUUGGUCUUUGACAGAGUUCUGAAGGCUACACUUGAGGAUCUCACAGUUUGCAUUGUUGGAGUUAAAGCAAGAAAGAGGUAUUUGGCUCAGAGCAGCAGCUCGAGCGCCCUGUGGAAGCACAGAGACCCAAACCAAUUUUGUCUUAUGAAUGAAUGUGCUGAUGAGGGGACCUGCUAAUCCAGUCCAGGAGAGAGAUUGUGAAAAUUAUGGAAGAUCUCAUUAACACCUGAGCUCUCCAGACUUCCACAGUUGGACUUUGGCAAGGAGGGAGGGGGGAAUGUAAAUGCUUAGAAGCUUUCACAAUACCCAGUUAAGUU